rnacentral:lncRNA from 1 species
CUCAAGGCUGUACAUGUCCUCUGGGCAGGAUUUCUUUCUCUUGGAGCUCGUAUCUGGCACUGCUUCCCCCAGGCAAUGCUGGUGUCCAGCAGUGCUGUGAGCAGUGUGGGAUUUGCAUCCUGAGCAAUACAUGGCAGACUGGCAGGCCUGUCCAAGAACACACAGCUCUGGGCAAUCUGAACUGAUGCACUUCUCUUAGAGAUGCCAGCCAGCAUUUUUAGGAAGGUGUCAAAGCUGUCCGCUCCCGUCACUGCUUGUUCCAGCCACCUCUAGAAAUCAGCCUGGAGUUAAUUCUCUGUUGUGCUGAUGAACUUUAAAUAAGCCAGUUUCCAAACGAGAUUACCUCUGUGGCAGUACUCAAGGACCCGUACCUGCGUGCUCCCCCUUUGCAAGAGCAGGAGCAUGGUGCAGGACCUCCAUAAUACCUGCUUGUCUCAUCUCACCACAUGCAGUUGUCCUCUCCCAUGUGCUGUCUUAAUAAGUAAUUCUAAGGAACAGUUAUCAUGCAGUCAAUGAAAUGACCUCCAGAGCUGGCCUGACAAGUCUUAUGGGAAGCAGCUGAGGGAGCUGGGAUUGUUCAGUCUGGAGGAGAGGAGGCUCAGGGGAGACCUUAUCACUCUCUACAACCACUUGAAAGGAGGAUGUGGUGAGAUGGAGGUCAGCCUCUCCUCCCACUCAACACUGAUAGGAAAAGAGGCAAUGACUUUAGGUUGUUCCAGGGGAGAUUCAGGUUGGAUGAUAGGAAACAUUUCUUCUCAGAGGAGCGGUGAGGCAGCGGCACAGGCUGCCCAGGGUGGUGGUGGAGUCACCGUCCCUGGAGGUGUUCAAGAGCCGUGUGGAUGUGGCACUGAGGGCCAUGGGCAGUGGGCACGGUGUGAUGGGCUGCUGGUUGGGCUAGAUGGUCUUAGAGGUGUCUUCCAGCUACAACAAUUCUAUGAUUAUUUAGGGAAGCAUUAAAAAAAAAAAAAAUGAUAUAGUCGGCUCUCAGAAUGAAGCCGGAAGAAAACUUUGUCUACAUGAAAACUAUUCUGGCAGUGCUGCCCUUGGCUGGCCCUGCACAAACUUACCCAACCAUGUGUCUGACUCAGCCCUCCCAGAACUACCUUCAUGCCUGCCCCAGGCAUGGGAAGCAGUGCUGGAGCUGAGAGCAUUGAUGAGAUGACACAGAUUUGGAGUGUUUCUCCUAGCACUGCCUGGAUAAAAAAGGGCAGCAUCCAACAUUGGCAGAUGGGAGAGGCAAAGGGAACCCCAGGCUGGGUUUAAUGAAAAGGGCAUGGAGUGCAGGGAGCAAGGACAAGAAAGCCAGACAAGCCAGGCCAGGGGAGGAAGGUCAUUACCACCUGUCAAAAGGAUGUGGUCAUCCUCAGAGCAUGGUGCUGUGCAUGUCUCCUUUCCUUCCAGUAGCU